rnacentral:tRNA from 1 species
GGCUCCGUAGCAUAAUUGGAUAGUGCACCUGACUACGGAUCAGGAGGUUGUGGGUUCGAGUCCCUCCGGAGUCA